CGAACGCUGGCGGCGUGCUUAACACAUGCAAGUCGAGCGGUAAGGCCCUUCGGGGUACACGAGCGGCGAACGGGUGAGUAACACGUGGGUAACUGCCCUGUACUCUGGGAUAAGCCUUGGAAACGAGGUCUAAUACCGGAUACGACCACUGAUCGCAUGAUCGGUGGUGGAAAGUUCCGGCGGUAUGGGAUGGACCCGCGGCCUAUCAGCUUGUUGGUGGGGUAAUGGCCUACCAAGGCGACGACGGGUAGCCGGCCUGAGAGGGUGACCGGCCACACUGGGACUGAGACACGGCCCAGACUCCUACGGGAGGCAGCAGUGGGGAAUAUUGCACAAUGGGCGAAAGCCUGAUGCAGCGACGCCGCGUGAGGGAUGACGGCCUUCGGGUUGUAAACCUCUUUCAGCAGGGACGAAGCGCAAGUGACGGUACCUGCAGAAGAAGCACCGGCUAACUACGUGCCAGCAGCCGCGGUAAUACGUAGGGUGCGAGCGUUGUCCGGAAUUAUUGGGCGUAAAGAGCUCGUAGGCGGUUUGUCGCGUCGGCCGUGAAAACUUGGGGCUUAACUCCAAGCUUGCGGUCGAUACGGGCAGACUUGAGUUCGGCAGGGGAGACUGGAAUUCCUGGUGUAGCGGUGAAAUGCGCAGAUAUCAGGAGGAACACCGGUGGCGAAGGCGGGUCUCUGGGCCGACACUGACGCUGAGGAGCGAAAGCGUGGGGAGCGAACAGGAUUAGAUACCCUGGUAGUCCACGCCGUAAACGGUGGGUGCUAGGUGUGGGGGGCUUCCACGCCCUCUGUGCCGCAGCUAACGCAUUAAGCACCCCGC
rnacentral:rRNA from 1 species